rnacentral:rRNA from 1 species
GAUGAACGCUGGCGGCGUGCCUAAUACAUGCAAGUCGAGCGAACGGACGAGAAGCUUGCUUCUCUGAUGUUAGCGGCGGACGGGUGAGUAACACGUGGAUAACCUACCUAUAAGACUGGGAUAACUUCGGGAAACCGGAGCUAAUACCGGAUGAUAUUUUGAACCGCAUGGUUCAACAGUGAAAGACGGUCUUGCUGUCACUUAUAGAUGGAUCCGCGCUGCAUUAGCUAGUUGGUAAGGUAACGGCUUACCAAGGCAACGAUGCGUAGCCGACCUGAGAGGGUGAUCGGCCACACUGGAACUGAGACACGGUCCAGACUCCUACGGGAGGCAGCAGUAGGGAAUCUUCCGCAAUGGGCGAAAGCCUGACGGAGCAACGCCGCGUGAGUGAUGAAGGUCUUCGGAUCGUAAAACUCUGUUAUUAGGGAAGAACAUAUGUGUAAGUAACUGUGCACAUCUUGACGGUACCUAAACAGAAAGCCACGGCUAACUACGUG